rnacentral:lncRNA from 1 species
UGCUGAGUCGUUGUUUGGAUUUCAUUUUAGGAGCGAAUAAAAUGGUCCACUGAAUUGUUAAGAGGGAAUAAGAACGAGAGAGAAAGAGAUAGAGAGAAUGGAAAUGGGGGAGAAAGAAGGGAGAAGAAGAUGGACAGAGAGAAGCAAAGAAACGAAAAGCAACGGACGAACGAGAGAUGAACGGAUACAGGAUGAAAAGAGAAGGACGAAGAAAGAUACCGGCUGGCAAGCAGAUGGUAGCCUCGUUUAUUGGUUUACUCGUCGGCUCGCUGCCCCUACGGCCAUGAAACGAGACUUUAGAACGAAUGUCGUUUCUCUUUGUAGCAGAGAGAACGACCCGACGACCUUCGAUUCGAUGGAAAUCAAUAAAACAGGUAGGACAAGAAUGUAUUCGGUGUCUGGAUGAAGCAAGAAACUUUCGAUGUAGAUCGCAUCUUCUUACCAUCAAUGCAUUCAUUGGGCGUUCAUUCAAGAAGAGGCGAGGGGGAGACGAGGAGGAGGAAGAUAGUGGUGGAAUAUAGUAGCUGACAUUAACUGAGGGUGUAUGUGUCUAUAUGUCUGUAAGAGAAAGAGGGAGAUAGAAGUAUACGCACAGAUAUAUAGACGCAGCCAUCAAAUAAUGGCGUCGUGGGGGCGGAUAGCAGUUGCCGGGUCGAUAGGAGGAAGGCCCUUGACCUGCAAAACUCCGACUGCCUUCCCACCAUCGGCGUUGCUUUAACGACAACCCUCGCUCAUUGGCUCUUGUAGACUUCUCCCUAGGGAAAGAAUUGUGAUUCACCUGCUUUUUUGGUGAACGAACGGAAGACAAGAUAUGACCAAGUGACCUGGAAGUGCAAGGUGCGUUACAGCACGGUAUAUAAAACGAGCCGUUGAGAAGAAAGAGAAAAGAAAAGAACAUGAUGGAGAAGCCGACCUUGCUAAGAUCAGCUGUGUCAUCCUUGGGCCGUUAACGCUCAGGUGGUUUCGAUCUCAGGGCCGAGCAUCAAUCAUCAUUGGUAGUGCAAGGCGUGAUGUGAUUAUUGUCACUAAGAUACUCUACUACGAUAUAACAAUCACGAAAGUGUGCCACGUGACAUAACAGAGUUUAUCUUUAACGGUUAAUCUUAAGCAUCAAAUAAAACAGACCUAAU